GAUGAAUUAACGGUAUUUCCAAAUCUAACACAUUAAAAUACAGUUCACUGUUAUCACCAAACGCAACCGGUUCUUUCGAGACGAAGGUCAAGGUCUAUGUUUUAUCAGCAGCGUAGCUCCCGAAUGGCUAGAAUCAAGCAUAACAAUGAAAUAUUCCCGAAACUCAGUUAUUCACUAGCAGUGCUUAUUUUCGAGUGUAAAGCUUUUCGGUAGUGAGUCAUUUUGAGAUGAAAUACUUGUCGAUGUAUUUCGUAGUGAUUGGUUUUACUUUUUGCCUCACGUGGCAUUCGGCUGCCGCAAGCUUACUCGAUGAUACUAACACUCUCAGUGCCCAGGAUCGAUAUCGGCGCGAGGUGAUGUUUCGGCCUCUGUUUGUCUAUAAAGAGCAGCAGAUCGAGAAAGAACGCUUGCAUCAACAACAACAGUUGCGACAGCAACAACCGGAACGAAACCAUCAAUAAUUAUUAGGUGCAGUGUUAAUAUAAACCCAGUGCCGGAUUGAAGAUUGUGCGGAAUAAAAAGCUUGUAAAAUGUU